GACUCCAUAGGCCUCAGUUUCUCCUCUGGUAACGUGAGCUUCGCUUCCAGAGACGGGGGCCCGCCUCGCCGGGCUAGGCGCACCUCCUGGGGCGGGACUGGCUCCAACGUGGGCCCCUUGCUGCGGCUUUCUCUGCGGCCGAGGCCAGGCCGUUCCCUGGGUGGCCAGGAGAAAACCGUAAACUCUUCAGCCUGCUCCGUGGCUGCGAUCUUGGAAAAAGCACCAAUUCUGUGAUGUGCAGCAGCAUUUACUGGGCAUCUAUGACCCUGUGAUAGGCUUUGGGCUCUUUUUCUGUAAGGAGUCCAGUAAAGGAGAAGUACAUCUGCAUUAUGAACACCUAAAUAUGGCCCAGGAGCUUUUUUCCUGUUGGAAUUGGGGAGCUUCUGCAGUCAUUUACCACAUGCCAGCUUUGUGACUCAAUUAAGUAUCUUAUACAAAAGUGACUGGCUCCACUCCCCAACACAGGACUCAACAGAUGUUGACUUCUCAUCCCCGAGUUCUUUCGGGCCAAAAAGCAAAUGGAUUUCCACCUGACAAAUCCUCGGGAUCCAAGAAGCAGAAACAGUAUCAGCGGA
rnacentral:sRNA from 1 species